rnacentral:rRNA from 1 species
UACGGGGGGAGCAAGCGUUGUUCGGAUUUACUGGGCGUAAAGGGCGCGUAGGCGGCCUGUGCAAGUCAGUUGUGAAAUCUCCGAGCUUAACUCGGAACGGUCAACUGAUACUGCUCGGCUAGAGUGCGGAAGGGGCAACUGGAAUUCUUGGUGUAGCGGUGAAAUGCGUAGAUAUCGAGAGGAACACCUGCGGCGAAGGCGGGUUGCUGGGCUGACACUGACGCUGAUGCGCGAAAGCCAGGGGAGCGAACGGG